rnacentral:sRNA from 1 species
UUGCUCAUGGGGCCUCCCCAGCUGGAGCUGGCUGUGCCUCUCCCUCCCUGGGGAGCGCCUCUCCACUCCCACCUGUUGAAGACUGAGCAUGCUGCAUUGUGCCUGUGCACCUCGUCGCUGUUCCCUUCUGAGAUUCUGAUCCUCACAUGGCAAGGAACACCUUUGUGUACCUGGCUCCAUGCCUGGCACUUCAUUCACAGUGGGAGCUGUUGGCCUGGCGACACUCAUCUUGUCCUCCGCUUCUUUCCAGGGAAGCAGUUUAAGUGCACGGUGUGUGACUACACAGCGGCCCAGAAGCCACAGCUGCUGCGGCACAUGGAACAGCAUGUCUCCUUCAAGCCUUUCCGCUGUGCCCAUUGCCAUUACUCCUGCAACAUAUCUGGCUCUCUGAAGCGGCACUACAACAGGAAGCACCCUAAUGAGGAGUAUGCCAACGUGGGCACCGGGGAGCUGGCGGCGGAGGUGCUCAUCCAGCAAGGUGGUUUGAAGUGUCCUGUUUGCAGCUUUGUAUAUGGCACCAAAUGGGAGUUCAAUAGGCACUUGAAGAACAAACAUGGCUUGAAGGUGGUGGAAAUUGAUGGAGACCCCAAGUGGGAGACAGCAACAGAAGCUCCUGAGGAGCCCUCCACCCAGUAUCUCCACAUCACAGAGGCCGAAGAAGACGUUCAAGGGACACAGGCAGCGGUGGCCGCGCUCCAGGACCUGAGAUACACCUCUGAGAGUGGCGACCGACUGGACCCCACGGCCGUGAACAUCCUGCAGCAGAUCAUUGAGCUGGGCUCCGAGACCCAUGAUGCCACUGCCCUUGCCUCGGUGGUUGCCAUGGCACCAGGGACGGUGACUGUGGUUAAGCAGGUCACCGAGGAGGAGCCCAGCUCCAACCACACGGUCAUGAUCCAGGAGACGGUCCAGCAAGCGUCCGUGGAGCUUGCCGAGCAGCACCACCUGGUGGUGUCCUCUGACGACGUGGAGGGCAUUGAGACGGUGACUGUCUACACGCAGGGCGGGGAGGCCUCGGAGUUCAUCGUCUACGUGCAGGAGGCCAUGCAGCCUGUGGAGGAGCAGGCUGUGGAGCAGCCGGUCCAGGAACUCUAGAGGACGUGUGACAUCGGAUGGCCACAGGGCGGGGCUGCCAGGCUCUGCAGGCACCCAGGGUGGGGAGGCCACCCUUCCUGCCCUACCCUCAGAAUGGUGCUCUCCUUUGCCCUCCCUGCCCAGCAGCCUGAUAGGACUCUCCUAGUCCAACUUGGGGUGGGCAAGGCAGUCAGCAUCACCAGCAACACCACAGGUCCCUCACCCCAGCAUAGACACACACCCCCUGACCCUUACCAUCUGCUUCCUGAAAGACCUCAGCGUCAGCUCCCCUACACACACCCCACACCUUCACGCCUUGCUUCAAGUUUCAAACAGAGACUCCCAGUCCCCCUCAGCAUCUUCCCUGAAUCACAGCCCCAGCUCCUUGACCCCCAUCUAGGUGCCAAAUGUUCAUCUGCAACCGCUAUGCAGUCUGGUGAGAGGGAGACAGCCAUCACAUAGAAAGUGACCGUACGGG